rnacentral:rRNA from 1 species
UACGUAGGGAGCAAGCGUUGUCCGGAAUCAUUGGGCGUAAAGCGCGCGUAGGUGGCCCCAUAAGUCCGCUGUGAAAGUCAAAGGCUCAACCUUUGAAAGCCGGUGGAUACUGUGGGACUAGAGUACGGAAGAGGCGAGUGGAAUUCCUGGUGUAGCGGUGGAAUGCGCAGAUAUCAGGAGGAACACCGAUGGCGAAGGCAGGUCUCUGGGCCACUACUGACGCUGAGAAGCGAAAGCAUGGGGAGCGAACAGG